UGAUUGGAUGAAGGAAAAAAUAAUUUUGAACUAUAAAGCAUGGUAAAAAAAUUCCAGACCUUCUUCCAAAAUCCAAUCCCAUUGCAGGAAAGUUGCAAUAGGGGUGCAAAUGGGUCAUGGGCGACACCAUGAGAUUUGAAAAUGAGAAGAAGGAAUUUGAGUUUUCUGGAGAAAAAUUGGAAUUUGGGUUAUCGAAGAAAUUUAGGCGGAACGGCGGGCAUACUUAGUUUCAUUUUAGAUUUUCCUCCUUUUAUCUUUUUUUUAAAAUUUACAUUUACUCAAAAAUAAUAUUUUUAAUAUUUUUGGAAUUAAAAAUUAAAUUUGGUGACGGAAAUUUUUGUUAAUAACCUGUCACCGCCAAAAAUAAUUUUUAAAAAUUUAUAAAUAUUUGGGUUACGAUAUUUGUGACGGCUGUAUUUGUCACUGUCUGGUUGCAAUUUUGGUUAUCAUAUUGUUGACAGAUACCCCGUCACUAUGAUGGUCACUAAGUUCUGGCGCCCAUCCUACCCGCGCAUUCUGUGACCGGUCUGUCACUAAUCGGUCACUAAGUUAACACCACGGUGACCAAAUUUCUGUCGGUCACUAAUCCGUCACAAAUAGUGACUGAUAACGGUCCGUCACGAAUUUUCCGUCACUAUACGCG
rnacentral:lncRNA from 1 species